rnacentral:tRNA from 1 species
GUGGCCCAGCGGGAAGCGCGUCUGCCCUCCGGUGAUGCAGGCUCCUACGGAUCAGAAGGUUGGGGGUUCGAAUCCCUCCGAGC